ensembl:snoRNA
AGUCAUUGAUGAUUUAAGUGUAAGAGUAGUGGACAGAAGUGGUUUCUGAGAAAUGUACACUGAGACU